rnacentral:rRNA from 1 species
GGUGGUUUGUCGCGUCGUUUGUGUAAGCCCGCAGCUUAACUGCGGGACUGCAGGCGAUACGGGCAUAACUUGAGUGCUGUAGGGGAGACUGGAAUUCCUGGUGUAGCGGUGGAAUGCGCAGAUAUCAGGAGGAACACCGAUGGCGAAGGCAGGUUUCUGGGCAGUAACUGACGCUGAGGAGCGAAAGCAUGGGUAGCGAACAGGAUUAGAUACCCUGGUAGUCCAUGCCGUAAACGGUGGGCGCUAGGUGUGAGUCCCUUCCACGGGGUUCGUGCCGUAGCUAACGCAUUAAGCGCCCCGCCUGGGGAGUACGGCCGCAAGGCUAAAACUCAAAGGAAUUGACGGGGGCCCGCACAAGCGGCAGAGCAUGUGGAUUAAUUCGAUGCAACGCGAAGAACCUUACCUGGGCUUGACAUACACCAGAUCGGGCCAGAGAUGGUCUUUCCCUUUGUGGUUGGUGUACAGGUGGUGCAUGGUUGUCGUCAGCUCGUGUCGUGAGAUGUUGGGUUAAGUCCCGCAACGAGCGCAACCCUUGUCUUAUGUUGCCAGCACGUUAUGGUGGGGACUCGUGAGAGACUGCCGGGGUUAACUCGGAGGAAGGUGGGGAUGACGUCAAAUCAUCAUGCCCCUUAUGUCCAGGGNNCNUUCCAACACAUGCUACAAUGGUCGGUACAACGCGUCUGCGAGCCUGUGCGGGUGAGCUAAUCGCUGUAAAGCCGGUCGUAGUUCGGAUUGGGGUCUGC